UCCCCCUAGUACUACGAGGCUCAUCAAUUAAGGCUUGACCUUUUCCAGUUGUGGGUGCCAUCCGGCCUGCCUUUGGCAAAGAAGGAGCAUUCAGGUUGAGUCAGGGAGGUAAUGAGGAGGUCCUGGGGUCUCCCUUACUUUCAGAAACACCAUGUAACUUUUUUUCUCACUCACCCAGGUACAGCAGAUGGUGACGGCAGCAGCCUCCAACUCGGGUCAGAGCCAGUGGCCUGAGAACCUCUCAGCUCAGGGGAGGGUGAGUAGCCAAUUGCGGGGUUAUCACCCACGUGCUUCUGGACUCUUGCGUCAGUUUCGGUUUUCUUUCUCGUAGCGACCGAGUCAGGGAUUGCACGACCCUGUGAGCCAGCCAGGCAUCCUUCCUUUGCAUCGAAGAUGGAUUCACAUCCCCGACUAUGGGAAAGAUAAGUGGAGGACUCCCACCUGGAGAGGGGAUGAGAGCUGGGUCCAGUUUUAUGGUUAGGAGGGAGGGAUUUUCAAAUGAGCCCAGGGGAAAGGGUCUGCCCUAACAGGCCCUUGGCACACAUAAGAGGAGCAGUUUACUUUUCAUCAGCGGAGUAGGAUGUGCAGGGCAGAGCCGUUCAGGUCUGUGUCAUGUCCUUUGUCCAGUCUGUGUUUCGUGUCUUACACUUCAUAAUCACCGUGUCUUUGCUUUCUGCCCUCAAAGUUAUUAUCUGAGAUGUCAAGGCAUCAUUCCUAGGGUCUUGAACCUUUGCACUGCCCAACCCAGUGCCCAUACUAUCCAUUCUUUGGCUCGCUAGCUUGGACGUGCAUCAGAAUUGCAUCUGAGAAGUGUCAGGUCAGGUGUCUUUUACAGCCUCCUUACAGGUUGUAUCGGUGGCUGUGCCGUGCAGUCAUCCCUUGUCAUCCCACCUAGGACUUGUGAGAAUCUAAGAAGAUUCUGAACAUAGCAUUGUCUCCCAUCCAUCUUAGCAAUUUUGAAGGCAGUUCUUGUCCCAGGCCAUUCUGUUAGAGUGUGUUUUCAGGCUCCUCAGAGCCUCCUCCGUUCAGUCUCGCCAUAUCCUCCAUCUUCUCGUGCGGUAGCACAUCCAUUUUGGCGUCGUUCCUUUCUCAGAGUUCUCUCUCCUCGUUGCACCACAGCACUUGUCUGGAAAUGUGUCCUUGGAGUUUGUGUUGGGCCUGGAACUGCUCUGCCCUGCAGUGUAGACUUGGGGUGUUUGUUUGUGCAGGCUGUCUUUGGACCCCAGAGGGCUUGUCUAAGGAGAAAUUAGAAUUGCACAGCAGUUAAUGUUGCCCUGUCUAUAUGGCUGACUUUGCUAACUCAUUUCUUUGCAGCAUCAGAGAGGCUGGAUGUAAAGCAGAGAUGAACAGAGGAGGCUGGAGGAGCACAGUCAGAAGAUGCAGAGCCCUCAGCCCAGCAGACGAUAGGCACCAGAGGGAAGGUGAGCCCAGUGAGCAAGGUGAGCAGUGACUGCAGGACAAAACUAGCUGCUCUUUUGGAGGCGGUGUAUUUGUGGUGAAUCUGUGUACAUACUUGUUUUUUUGUUUUACAGGUAGUGCACUGACUUCUAACGUACAGUCCAAUGUGACAGGGACCCUGCCUGUAAGAGGUCACGGUCAAGGGGUGUCAGACAGAAACUGCCAUGGGAGCAGCAAACUCUUGGACAGUAUCUAACUACUCACACUUGCCUCUGGGU